rnacentral:rRNA from 1 species
CACGUAGGGCGCAAGCGUUGUCCGGAAUUAUUGGGCGUAAAGAGCUCGUAGGCGGACUGUCACGUCUGCUGUGAAAAGCUGGGGCUUAACCCUGGCCUUGCAGUGGAUACGGGCAGACUAGAGGUAGGUAGGGGAGAAUGGAAUUCCCGGUGUAGCGGUGAAAUGCGCAGAUAUCGGGAGGAACACCAAUGGCGAAGGCAGCUCGCUGGACGGUACUGACGCUGAGGCG